AAUCAACGCUGGCGGCGUGCCUAACACAUGCAAGUCGAACGCGAAGGUGGAGCAAUCCAUGAGUAGAGUGGCAAACGGGUGAGUAACGCGUGGGCGACCUACCUUCGAGUGGGGGAUAACCUUCCGAAAGGAGGGCUAAUACCGCAUGACAUCCCGUGUUUGGAUACACGGACAUCAAAGCCGGGGAUCGUAAGACCUGGCGCUUGAAGAGGGGCCCGCGUCCGAUUAGCUAGUUGGGGGGUAACGGCUCACCAAGGCUCCGAUCGGUAUCCGGCCUGAGAGGGCGGACGGACACACUGGAACUGAGACACGGUCCAGACUCCUACGGGAGGCAGCAGUGGGGAAUUGUUCGCAAUGGGCGCAAGCCUGACGACGCAACGCCGCGUGGAGGAUGAAGACUUUCGGUC
rnacentral:rRNA from 1 species